UACGGAGGGUGCGAGCGUUACUCGGAAUUACUGGGCGUAAAGCGCGCGUAGGCGGCUUUGCAAGUCGGGGGUGAAAUCCCCAGGCUUAACCUGGGAACUGCAUUCGAGACUGCAUUGCUAGAGUAUGGGAGAGGGAAGUGGAAUUUCCGGUGUAGCGGUGAAAUGCGUAGAUAUCGGAAGGAACAUCAGUGGCGAAAGCGACUUCCUGGACCAAUACUGACGCUCAUGUGCGAAAGCGUGGGGAGCAAACAGG
rnacentral:rRNA from 1 species